rnacentral:rRNA from 1 species
AAUGGGCGAAAGCCUGAUCCAGCAAUGCCGCGUGAGUGAUGAAGGCCUUAGGGUUGUAAAACUCUUUUACCAGGGAUGAUAAUGACAGUACCUGGAGAAUAAGCUCCGGCUAACUCCGUGCCAGCAGCCGCGGUAAUACGGAGGGAGCUAGCGUUGUUCGGAAUUACUGGGCGUAAAGCGCGCGUAGGCGGUUUUUCAAGUCAGAGGUGAAAGCCCAGGGCUCAACCCCGGAACUGCCUUUGAAACUGGAUGACUAGAAUCUUGGAGAGGCGAGUGGAAUUCCGAGUGUAGAGGUGAAAUUCGUAGAUAUUCGGAAGAACACCAGUGGCGAAGGCGACUCGCUGGACAAGUAUUGACGCUGAGGUGCGAAAGUGUGGGGAGCAAACAGGAUU